GGUGACUGUUCUUCAUGUAUGGAACUCCUGACUUCACGAGAUCCAAGAGUCCAAGCAUCUUCUGGAAGUUCCUUUUCAUUUGGAGGUUUGGACAGUGACAGUCAAAAAUUGGGCCUUUUCAACAAUCACCUUAUGUUUUCCUCUUUCGUAUAGAGUGAUCUGCAAACAAUGCAACUUACAUGGGCAUUCUUCUUAUUGAGGAUUGGGCUUGGUGUGAUUCCCUGAAAGAGA